GGUUGACCAUCAUAGGGUCGACUGUUGUUCAGUAUCAUCGCAGACUUAUAUAUGUCUGUGUUUAGGAUCACAAGAUAAGAUCUUGUAAGUUCUCGUCCAUCAAAAUCCAGUUCGGCUUUAUAUCUCACUAAAUUAUUACCCAUGUCAAUGCCUUUCACAUCAUGAAUCGCACGAAUCUGCGAAAUGUGUACAAACUUCAGCGUUAAUUUUAUCGAGAUUCUCUUGCGAUAUACUCCUUCCUACAAGUGCAGCAACGUUCGAGUAGAUUAUAAAAGAC